rnacentral:rRNA from 1 species
GGGCCCGCACAAGCAGUGGAGCAUGUGGUUUAAUUCGAUGCAACGCGAAGAACCUUACCAGGGUUUGACAUCCUGCGAAUCUCUUGGAAACAGGAGAGUGCCUUCGGGAACGCAGUGACAGGUGGUGCAUGGCUGUCGUCAGCUCGUGUCGUGAGAUGUUGGGUUAAGUCCCGCAACGAGCGCAACCCACGUCUUUAGUUGCCAGCAUUUAGUUGGGGCACUCUAGAGAGACCGCCGGUGAUAAACCCGGAGGAAGGUGUGGAUGACGUCAAGUCAUCAUGCCCCUUACAUCCUGGGCUACACACGUACUACAAUGGCUAGGACAGACGGCCGCAAACCCCGCGAGGGGGAGCCAA